GUGCACCAGGCGAGAAUCCUCCGCAAUGCGCGAAAGCGCGACGGGGCCACCCCGAGUGCCGCCCGCUGAGGGCGGCUUUUCCCCGGUGUAGACAGCCGGGGGAAUAAGGGGAGGGCAAGUCCGGUGUCAGCCGCCGCGGUAAUACCAGCUCCCCGAGUGGUGGGGACGAUUAUUGGGCCUAAAGCGUCCGUAGCCGGCCCGGCAAGUCUCCCGUUAAAUCCAGCGAUCUAAUCGCUGGACUGCGGGAGAUACUGUCGGGCUAGGGGGCGGGAGAGGCCGGCGGUAUUCCCGGGGUAGGGGUGAAAUCCUAUAAUCCCGGGAGGACCACCAGUGGCGAAGGCUGCCGGCUGGAACGCGCCCGACGGUGAGGGACGAAAGCCGGGGGAGCGAACCGGAUUAGAUACCCGUGUAGU
rnacentral:rRNA from 1 species